rnacentral:rRNA from 1 species
UACGUAGGGGGCAAGCGUUGUCCGGAAUCAUUGGGCGUAAAGAGCGUGUAGGCGGUCCUGUAAGUCCGCUGUGAAAGUCAAGGGCUCAACCCUUGAAUGCCGGUGGAUACUGCAGGACUAGAGUCCGGAAGAGGCGAGUGGAAUUCCUGGUGUAGCGGUGAAAUGCGCAGAUAUCAGGAGGGACACCGAUGGCGAAGGCAGCUCGCUGGUACGUAACUGACGCUGAGGCACGAAAGCGUGGGGAGCAAACAGG